UCUUUAUACUGAACCAGACACAGAGCUGUGUCGGGUUGGUUGACAAUGACGCCGCCCCACCAAUGACUUGGGAGGGUUCAAAGGAGGAGUUUGGGGGAUUCUUUGUAUAGCUGCUUCAGGCGUUGCAACAACAUAGGAGGGAUCCAAAUUAGAUCACUUUUUCUGAGGUAUUACCAAACAUCCAGAAGAAACACAAAAUGCACAUCAUCUUCAUUUGCAUUACUUUUAGAUAUUUUAUGGUCUCAGGCUCGUCUCUCAGUGACCAAGUUCACCAGACUCCAGCUGAUAUUUACAACAAACCCACAGAAGAAGCCACAAUCAACUGUUCACACAGUAUUCCCAACUACGAUCGAAUCUUCUGGUACAAACUGUCCAGGGACAACAAACUGCAGUUUCUGGGAUACGUGUUAAAAACCCUCAGAAUCCCAGAAGCUGGACUAGGCGUAAAGAUGGAUGGGAGUGCUGAUAAAAACCAAAUGUGCCAAUUAAGAAUUGAGGGCCUGGUGCUGAACAGUAGCGCGGUGUACUUCUGUGCUGCUAGUCUACACAGUGCUGCACAUCACUGCUCCUUAGAACAACAACAUCUGUAUCAAAGCUCACAGCCCCGUGCACCUGUGACCCUCUCAUACAGCAGCAUUACAUAGCCAGUUGUUGCUGUGGUUGACAUAAGCAUUAUAAUAUUAGGAGGGAUGAGAAAGCACUGUGAUACCUGAUGACUUCUGGUUUAUUUUAUGUGAUGAAUAUGAAUAUGAAUUUUUCAAGUCCUCUACAUACUUUUAAUAAAUUUGCUUGUGUUUUGACAUACUGCGGCCAGUCCAGCUUUGUUAUAUUUCCUAUGUUUUCAACCGUUUCUUCUCAAGCUGUAUUUUGUCCAAUGUUUCUGCGACACCAGACUCCACUGGGUAUGUACAACAAACCCCAAAUCAUUUAUAAACCGUUAAAACGUGACCGUUCACACAGCAUCGACACCCACAACCAAAUCCUGGCUUAAUAAUCCUUUAAUUCUAUCUCUGUACAUCAAACCCCUGGAAUAAGCCGUUUUCUUCUGAUCAACAUUAGAGAACAUGAUGGGAGGCCCUUUCUGCAGAGCAAUCUGUUUAACCUCCCACCUCCCACUAUGAAAAGAGACUCAGUCAUUUUGCUGUCGCUGCUUCUCACGUCAACAACAUCGUUACAAUGACUCCAGUUCUCAUCGCACUCGUAGUGUCGUCGCUGAUGCUUCAAGGUCACUGCCAGGGUGUGACCCAACACCCUGAAAUCAACUGGAGUCUUGUUUCCAAAUCGGCAGAGAUGAACUGCAGCCACAACAAAGAUGCCGGUCACAACCAGAUGUACUGGUACAGACAGCGUCCAGGAGAGACCAUGACCCUGGUGGUCUACACAGUUUUUGGCGGACAGCCAGAUUACGGGAAGCUCCCUCAGACCAAAUAUUCAGCCGUUAAAGAAAGUUCUGAGAGCGGCGCUCUUACUGUGAAGGACUUGCAGCUGGAGGACGCCGGCGUGUAUUUUUGUGCUGUCAGCAAACACAGUGAUGUGAGAGGGAAACGCAACUGAACAAAAACUGGUUGCCAGCACAUUUGGGGAGUGUUUGCAG